rnacentral:rRNA from 2 species
UCUGCAUAGGCGAAAGCCUGACAGGGUUACUCUGAGUGACUUUCGCUAAGAAAGUCUUUUGGCACCUCUAAAAAGGGUGCAGAAUAAGGGGUGGGCAAGUCUGGUGUCAGCCGCCGCGGUAAUACCAGCACCCCGAGUGGUCGGGACGAUUAUUGGGCCUAAAGCAUCCGUAGCCGGUUCUGCAAGUCCCCCGUUAAAUCCAGCUGCUCAACAGAUGGGCCGCGGAGGAUACUACAGAGCUAGGAGGCAGGAGAGGCAAGCGGUACUCAGUGGGUAGGGGUAAAAUCCGUUGAUCCAUUGAAGACCACCAGUGGCGAAGGCGGCUUGCCAGAAUGCGCUCGACGGUGAGGGAUGAAAGCUGGGGGAGCAAACCGGAUUAGAUACCCGGGUAGUCCCAGCCGUAAACGAUGCAGACUCGGUGAUGGGUUGGCUUCGCGCUAACCCAGUGCCGCAGGGAAGCCGUUAAGUCUGCCGCCUGGGUAGUACGGUCGCAAGACUGAAACUUAAA